CAUGUCAUAUUUUGCAGCUGGUAAGGUGGAAAAUCUCAAGCCUGUCAAACAGCACAUUUUCUGGAAAAAAAACUGAGAUACUCCAGUCUCAGGUGGAAGAGCUGGAGGAGGAAAAUGGCUUACUCAAGAAGCAGCUUGAAGAGACGUCUGCACAAGAGCAAGGCAAUGGGAGCAGUGCAUGCAUUUUACCUGGGCAAAGGCACGGAGGAGAUGGGAACAUGGAGAUAAUGGACACUGGAGAUGAGGAGCCACAAGCCAAGAAGUUGGACUCCAGCACUGACUCCAUCACUGAUUCAAGCUCUGAUUCCAGCUCAGGCUCUACCUCUGUCUCUUCUGAUGAGGAAAAGAAGAAAAAGAAGCAUAAAAAGAAGAAGGACGAGAAGAGAAGCAAGAAUAGAAAGAAGGAAAUCAAAAAGGCAAAGAGGUCAAAAGGACAAGGAGCAUGAGUUGCUACCAUCUCAGAAGUGGUGAGAAGAUAUCAGCGGAUCCUCAAACCUGUGCAGAGAGGCUUCAGGAUGACCGCUUUCAAGAAAGCUCGAGUUUAAAAAAAUGCUGUGAAAGACACGGCAGCAAUUGCAGAGACACUUUUAGAUAGUGGACAGAAGUGUCCUAGACCAGUUCAGUGGUAAAUACAGACUUUUGAAACUAGCCCAAGUUUGUCAGAAAAAAAAAGUGGCAGAAAAGAUCAUUGAAAUGAAAAGCAACAACCAGCUCAUCCCCUUUACUGUCAAGAAAUACUGAACAAGAUAGCUAAAAGUUAUUUUCUUUUUUGAGGGGAGGUGGCACUGUUUUUAAAGGUCAAUCUUGGCCUCAGCAUAGGGCAAUAAUUUAAAAUGUUCUUUCACUGUUAUACAGUUGGUCAAGUUUGUCCCCCCCAUAUCUUCCUAGGGAGAAACUGCAAUUAUUUGUAGUUAAUUGAACUGUAAAAGAAUUCUGUGCUGCCAGUGUAGUGAUUUUUUUUUUUGGACAGGUAUUGACUACCUGAGAGAAUUUUCUUAUUUUGAUAUUCGCAACAAACUUUGAAAUGGUCAAUAUAAAGUUUGUCACACAUAAUCAGACUGUUCAGAUGUGCUGCUGAUGGCCUAGAGAAGAAUGGUUUGUAUUAAUGUGUUUUGGACUCAAUAUUAGAAUAUAUCAGUUGAGCGCCCACCUACAGUAUAUCUAUGAUUGGAUAAUAAAAGAUGACCCCUCCAUUUGGUUAGAUAUCAAAACGUACUUAUCUAAAUAUCCAUUGCAAGACUUAUUAUUCUUUAAAAGUCUUAAGGAUAUAAAUGGAAGCUGUGUUAAUCCUGUCACACUCAAUACAUGGCAGUUAGCUAGGCUACAGAGGGCAGGUCCAAGUUUACCUUCUGAGAAAGGCUGGCAAAAAAGUAUUAAUUGAGCUAGUACCACUGGAAUACCUUACAUGUAUUUCUCACUCCAAAACUGAUUAUUUUUUAUAAAGUACGGGAACCAUUUUUAAAGUACUUGGAUCUCGGUGUCUCAGCUAUUAUGCUGCAUGAAUUUCAAUGAUUGAGACCAUGCAUACCACCCCUUAGGCUAGUGUGAAGUAUGCUUUUGUAUUCUGAAACUGUUUUAACAACUGAAAUGAGCUGUCUUUUUUUAUUUUUUAAAUUUAUUUUAUUUUUUUAUUCUAUUUUCUGAUUAAUGAAUGUUCUCUUUUUUGUGGUUGUUGUUCGUUAAUUGGUGAAAAUCCAAUAAAUAUACUAUUAAAAAAAAAAACCUUGCUGAGCUUUGCCAGCUAGCUAGAUAACUACCUAACACUAGAUGAACAAGAAGUUCAGGGAUAGCAGGUAAAUGCUCAUUCAAACAUUAGGUAACAUGUUGAAUUGUAACAUACCAUGAAGCUUACAUGGCUGAUAAAAACUAUAUUGUUGGUCAGUCUAGUGGCUCUCUGUUUGUGUGUGCAUUGCAACCAAUAUUAAGUAGAUUAGAAGCGUUUGAAAUGGAUUUUGCAGGUAAAUGAACGAACUGUGACUUUUGUGAUAUACUGCAUUUGACCGUGGAGUAUUAUGUA